CAUUGACUUUAAUGUUAUGAGUGAUCGAGCAGCCCUGUCCCAAGAUGGCCGCCAUGUGGCGACGUCGCUCCCCAUAGGCUGACAGCGCUCAUGAGCCAUCUAGUGUUUGUAUAUAUCUAUGAUGCUAACAACACGACACAGUGCUGAAACAGGAAAUGACGCAAUACGCUCACCGUAACGUCAGACGUCGCCUGCAGAUCAGUCAACCACUAAAUCCAGUAAAUAUUAGCUUUAAUAUAAAUUAGUGAUGCUAACCGAGCGAGCUGCUCAGUCUUAGCUUGAUUAAACGUAUUGUAGCCUUAAGCUAACGAUGUUUGCAUUGUGUUUUAUGGAAACAGCUGAAGUGUGUUGUGUUAGUGUAAUGUGGUACAUUUAGUUAAUAAAACUGUGUGGAGACGCUGGUUCACAUUAAUGUAACGUUUAGAAAACCUAAAUGUGAUUCAAACAGUAAGGUUAAGGUUCUGUGUUGUCAGUCGUCCUAAAUAUCUGCUGAGUCUCUGAAGUUAAAAUGGAGAAAACAGUAAAUUUACUCUCUAGUCGUUAACAUUGUUUAAUGUCUGAUUCACAUGUUGUAGUACAUCUUAGUGCAGAUUUGAAAAAUAACCUCCCAGAAUAUGUCCAAAAUAAUGACGAACACUACAGUUAAUACAUUUAAACUGCAGCACAGAUAAGCUGGAUAAUAAAACCCUCUCCUAAAGCUAAAGUGACUACAGGUCUUUCUGUCAUUCAGUGCUUGGAAAACUAUAUGAAAGAGGAAAUCUUUCCAGGGAUACUUUAAAAUGAACCUCUGCUGUUGAUGCUGAUACUGUGACAUCUCUCUUCAUCUCAGGUGUCUCAUGUUCACUGUGAGGAUCUUCUGAGUGAAGCCAACAGAAGGAAAACCUCAUCUGGUUGUGAAGAAGGAGACUGAAUGGACGACAUCCUCAGUGAACCACUUCCUGUUUCACUUUCACUGACAGAAGGACAGAUCAACUCUUUCAGCAGUUUAUUAUUCUCUGUUCUUAGUAUUCACAGAUUCUAUUUAUCACCUUUAACUUCAUCUCUGCUGCUGUAGCAGAAAUACAACAGGGUUUCUGCAGGACAUUAAUAAUCAUUAAGUUGAUUUUGCAAAAAUUAAGGCCUUAAAUGGCAUUAAAAAUCAUUAAAUUUGAUUCUUGGUGGCAUUAAAAUUCCUUUCUGCAGUUUUCAAGAAAAUAGUUGACAAUAAUAUAUAUUUAUAGACUGCGAUUUGUCAGAUAUGUGCAUCUGCGUAAACAUGCCGAAGCAUUGAGAUAAUUGUUCCAGCCGGUUGGGUACAAUUUCUAAAAACUGCAUGUUUUUAAAGUGGCCGGCAGGCUGGACCAGGCUGUGAAAUGGGGAAACACAAAUUCCAGCAAAAAUGGCUCAAAAACGUGGAUUUCAGAGAAUGACUGCAGCCCGUUGGUGUUCAGGGGUGGUUCCCAGAUUCAGAAAUAGUCAAAUGUAGGGUUUUCAUAUAAAAACCAUCUUUUACAAAAAAAAAUAAAAUAAACCCGUGUAAUUUGAGUUCAUGGUCGUGGCAUUAAAAUUUUACAGUAUAGCAUUAAAAUUGCAUUAAAAAGCAUUAAAUUUGACUGGUUGAUAUCUGCAGAAACCCUGUACAAUAUAAAAAGUCCAUGUUAUUUGUAACAGAUAUGUAGCAUUAAAACAUCAACACAUUCAGGUCAAGAGCUUCAUUAUUUCCUUCAUUGCACAUUUAAAAACUGCAUUAUUUAACAAUUGUGAACUGUAAAGAUGUGUAAACACAUAAUAAAUGGAUGAAAUAAUGUGUUGCUGACAGUGAAGUGUAAAAACUGAACAGUCACAAGACAAGUUGUAUUAUGAAGAGAGGAGCUGAAUCUGCAGCAUUAUUGUUCUUAAUGAAAGGAUGAGGAGAACAUCAGUGCUGCUCUUCCUCACAGUGAUGGAGAGAAGACUGUUCAGACAACCACAGCUGGAUGUUCAUGUUCUCUGUAGCUUUCAGUCCAUCAGACUAGAUGUUCCAAAUGAUCCAGACCAAGGCUGGAAGGAAAAGACACGAACAGUGAGAAGAAGAUCUCCAAGGUUCUUUCAGUCCAACUGCUGGAACUUUAAAUAUCAGAAUGAACACAUCAGGGUACGAAUGAAACACAACAGAGUGUUGUAUUUUGUCCUACUUUCUAAUCUUAUAGAAAUGUUUGUUUUCCUGGUUGAGGCCAAAGAGUAUUUUACUGCCUUAGAUGGACAAUAAAGUUUAUUAUUUUUA